UUCUCUUGAAGAGAGCUCUCUUCAGUCCACUCUGAAAUGGCUGUAGGGCUUCAUUAGCUGCCGACUCAUCCAUUCACCUACCAAGACCCAUGGAUGAGCAAUGUCUUGGUAGCCGAGUGGAUGGCGCGGGAGCUAAAAUCAAGCUCUACGCUGUUUGUGGUUGGACUGAAGGGUGCUCCCUUGCUCGCUCGU
rnacentral:pre_miRNA from 1 species